rnacentral:rRNA from 1 species
UUUUAAAUGAAGACUAGAACAAAAGAUUUAACAUUUAAUUUUAUUUAUUUAAUAUAAGUUUUAAAAUUAAACUAAACGUAAAAAAACGUUUUAUUUAUAAGAAAGACGACAAGACCCUAUUGAACUUAACUUAAGUUUAACUGGGGUAGUUAAUUAAUUAUUAUUUUAAUUAAAAAUAUUUCAAUAAAAAUCUAGAAAAACUAAAUAAUUCAGUUACCAUAGGGAUAACAGCGUUAUUAUAUUUUAAAGAUCUUAUAUAAAAAAUAGAUUACGACCUCGAUGUUGAAUUAAUUACCUUAUUUAAGCAAAUUUCAAAAAAGGAAGUCUGUUCGACUUUUAAAAAAUUACAUGAUUUGAGUUCAGACCGGUGUAAGCCAGGUCGGUUUCUAUCUUCUCAUAAAUUUUUACAGUACGAAAGGGCCUAAAAAUAUAAUAUAAUUAUAUCUUAUUGGCAGAAUAUUGCAUUAGAAUUAGAAUCUAAUUAAAAUUAAAA